rnacentral:tRNA from 1 species
AGCAGAGUGGCUUAGUGGAAAGAGCCUGGGCUUGGGAGUCAGAGGUUGAGGAUUCUAAUCCUGCUUCUGUUA